UUGAUGAUGAUGAGCAACAGGGAUUUUCGGGCUUCCCAUGCGUUGCGGGUGGUUGAGCUGUAACACCCCGUACUUUUUAAUACUCGGGUGUUACCACUUAAAUCAAAUUUAGCACAAGCACGUGUAAGAACAUAAAAAGAAAAGAAAAAAUCAUAAUCCACACAUCGCUUACUUACCCAUGAUUCGCCCUCCUUAACCAGCUCAUUCGAGCUCAACCUUCCCUUGAAUGGCCCUUGACUUCUCAGCAGGAGAUUGUGCCAUUAAUGAUCAUUCGACUCGCAAUCGAGGUGCAUGACAUCGCACCUAAAAUGCCUCAAAUCGAGUUUGGCCCUACAUCAAUGCAAACAAUUUUCAUCAUAACCAUACAAUAAGGCCAGUCAUGCAAUCAACAUCAAGGUCAGCCCAUCCAUUUAAAUUAUUCAUCAUAAUCUUCAUCCAUGAACCACUACACCAUUAGGGGAAACAUUGGAUUAAUCACCGCACAUCAUGGUCAGAUCCACGACUCUAAUGGGACGAAUAGUCAUUUAAUUGAAUAAGUUAGCCAUUAGGUUAUCAUCAAUCUUAGGACGCAAGAUCCACCAUUCAUCAGGGCCUAAAACACUUGGGACACACUAAUCGACUAUCGGGACUUCACUUAAAACACGCACUAGGAACCUUUGUCAGCAAUGAUUAAACUUGAUAACAUCCAACCGUUGAAUGAAAUCCCCACUUAUAUAUUAAACAGUCCAUCCGUUAUUAUUCGAGAUGGACCACCACAUCGUUAGAGAAAACUAUUUUAGGCGACUUGAUCACUAGACCUAAUGGUGAUUUUCACCUAAGCUGGGCUAAGAAUCCUGGGAAUCAUCAAAUGAUCGUUUUGGAAUUAAUCUGAUCCGUCCAUUAGGCUCAUAACGAACCAUUAGAUGAUAUGCACUAAGUGACCACCUAACCCACAAAUUCUAGAACCAUUGGUGGUAAAAAAAAUUGAUAGAAUCUGACCGUUAGAUUGACGUAGCCCAACAAUUGAGGUCCCGCCACCUGAUCAAUGGACCUAGGCUAUCAGGCCACCACUUCACCCGUUGAAUCUUAUCUAGGUAGGCCCCAAGACCCUUAAAACAGUGGAUGAUCAGAUUGAACGCAAUCUGGCCAGCAGAUCGAUGAAAACUUACAAUUUAAAGAUGAAAAUCCAAGUUCAUGGCCCACCGGGUCGCUGCGUCUGGCUGGAAAUUUGUAUGAUGAUUUGUUAGGAGUAGAGGAAUCGAACGAACGGAGUGGAUUUCGUCCAGGCACCUCAGUGGACUCCAAACAGGAGUGGUGUGCACACUGGUAUUGUUGCACCAGACGUACACCGGACCGCCAGCUCGGUCAAACGUUGUUUGGCUCGAGGCUUUCCGAAAAAGAGAGAAUCCUCUCUUUCUUUCCCGCCUUCAGGUUGUUUGAAAUAGGGCCGUCCGUGCGUCGGAUUGGUAGGCCAUUAUGAUCGAUCAUCAAGAUGAUCGGAGCUGUCCAUCGUGUGCGCCCGUCGAAGAUGAUCUAAACCAAGUGCUUGUAAAGCCCCACGCACAUGUGUAUGCAUACAAUAGUAGACGUAAACGGUCUGGCGCACAAGCAAAGAUGUGUUUCCGGGCACGCCAAAACUAAUCCGUUAAGAUCAAUGUGGGCCACCUAGAUCCAAUCCAAACCGUCCAAAUGAUUCAGAAAGUGGGCUCGACCAAAACCCAAGUUAUUUCUCGGGUUCCUCUAUACAUAUGGGCACACGAUUCUCGGCCAAAUAGGACUUGCGCACAAAAAUUUCCAAAAACGGAAACUGCCAUACUGCUGCCAGCUUGGCAAUCCGCAUGCGUCCUCAUCCUCAAUUCUUGGCCAUUCAUUAAGGGGAAAUCCCAGCCAUCCAGUGGCUCUCCAUGUGGGAGAAGGUUUCCGCCCAUAGAAAACCAAAACCACGGCCGGUUUGAGUCUUACCGGUGGUAUUUUAGGCUGUUGCAAGGUAAACCAAAUCCCAUCCGUUCAUUGCUCAUCCAACAGUGCAGGAGAGCUAGGUUUCGAGAUAAAAGAGAGAAAUUUUCGGACAGCUGCGCCUCUUCGCAGCCUCCAGCGCCAACCCAUAGAAAAACGCCCGAAACCUUCUCUCGUUUGAACCACGAGGAAACUGAUGCAAAGCUCUGAUCUGUUGAUUUCCCAAGCUUUUUUGGCAGUUCGGAGGCAGUCCACCGACUUCAUUUUGAAGGAAUGAGCUGUUGUUCGAGAUCCGCCAUUAAAGCCUGAGCAUCUUCCUCGAGUCGCACCACACCGAGUCGCGUCGAUUCGAAACGAGUCCUAGUCGAGUUGGGCUGUUGUUGGUCAGGGUUGAAAGAAAGAAAAAAAGGGGAAUAGAGAAAGAAGAGAGAGAGAGAGGCAGUUGGGUGGUUGCACCCUCCGAGCCGACCCGACUGGGCUGCUGACUCGAACCGAGUCGAGCUGCGUUGGGUAAGGCCGGGCCUAGUUUGGUCCAGCAAGCCUGCUGGUGCAGGUUUGAGUGAGGUAGAAGAGAAAGGAAAUCAAAAGGGAGAGAAAAGAGAAGGAGAGAGAAAGAGAGAAGGAAGGGAGGAGAGAAAGGAAAGAGAAAGAGAGAGGGAAUGAGUGCAGCCCUUGCACUCGCUAGGCUGCCAAGUCUGAGUUGGGCCUGUCCCAAUCAGGUUGGGCAUGGUUCGAGCAUUGCUGAAUAUUCCAACACAGUAGGAGAGGAAGGAAGAAAAGAGAAAGAAAAGGGAGAAGGAAAGGAAGAGAAAGAAAGAAGAAGAGAGCAUGAGUUGCCGGGUCAACUCGCCUGAGUCGCAGUUAUGGGCUGUUGGAGACGGGUCGGGUUUGGAAGACUGACUCGCUGAUAAGCCGACUAAUGUGAGUAAGCCUCCUCUGCCAAAGCAAAUAGUUGAUUUAGUAUAAAAAUCGAUGUUACCAUAAUUAUCGUGAUUAUUAAAUACGAUUAGCCGUUAGCAAGUUACGUAUCUUAGUUAUUAUGAAUAAAACUACAACUGUUAGAUAUGAGACAUUAGUAUCUACUUAUCAUUCCUAAAUACUCUCAUUGAUAGUAGAUCACACUAAUUGUUACCACUCUUAUUAUAAGGAUUUCUAACAUUAGGUAUGUUUAACCAUUAGUGGAUAACCUAUGCUAAAACUAGUUAUUAUAGACAGAGUUGCAAUUACUAACUAGGAGUAUUUUAUCUAUUUCCCUCAAACAUUAUCAUUAAUAGUAUAUCAUAAUAUUUAUUAUCCUCAAAAGGGUUAAGGUUGUCAAGUUAGCUAAAUAAAAAUUUCAUUGCUAGUUUAAUGACGAUUUUACAAUUAUUAACACUAUCAACAUGGUUACCGUCCCUACGAUCAUUAGGAUUUUUAAUAUUAGGAAUGAAUAGCCAUUGGUAAGUUAGCUAUACCGAUAUUAGUUAUUACAUAUAAAAUAAUAUCAUUACUAAAUGCUGGUAUACUGUUUUAUCACUCUUUAGAUCAAAACUUAAUUAUCGUCAUAAUGAUUAUCAUUAGCAUGUUAGCUAAUAUGAAGUAUAAUACUAACGCUAAUAAUUAUCUUGUAACUAUUAAGUUUAAAUUAUAACUAAUACACCGACUAGAGUCCAAAUCCUAAAAAUCUAGCCUAGAUAUAAACCCUAGGUUAAGACCUUAACCUUAAAUAGUGUGUUAAGAUUUGGAUCUAAUCGUAAAAUUUCAUAAUUCAUGGUAGGUCAAGGUAUUUAUUAUUAUCAUAAUGAUUAUCAUUAUUAUGCGUGCUAAUAUCAAUCGUAACAUUAAGGAUAAUAAUUAUUUUCUAACUAUUAAAUCGACAUUGUGACUUAUUUUACACUAACUACAAUUUAAAUCCUAAAAUCUAAGUCUAGGGCUAAACCCUAGGAUGAAAACCCUAAAUUCCACACUAAAACCCUAAAAGAUAACCCUAGCCUAUUAUCUUAAACCCUAGGUAGUAUGUAGAACUUGGAUCUAAUUGUAUAUCCUGAUUUAUGGUAGGAUUUGAUUUUAAGGGAACACGUAUUUCAUAGCGAUGUUGGUAGAUAAUGUGAACUAUGAGGUAGCACAGGUGGCUUAAGUGAUGUCAGGUUUAAACCGAUGAGGAGUCGGAUACAAGUGCCAGGGAUGCACGGUUAUAUUGCUAAGAGGAGCCACGCGGUCUUGCGGCUUACAUUUUGAUGUUUUCUGUUAUCUCUCAUGUAUGUAAAUCUUGUAAUUGUUAAUGUUGAGACAUUGGUUUGUAUAAGUCAUUAUGGGCAACCUCUUGUACAUUCUAAAUAAAAUACAAAUUUUCUGUUA